UACAGAGGGUGCGAGCGUUAAUCGGAUUUUACUGGGCGUAAAAGCGUACGUAGGCGGCUUUUUUAAGUCGGAUGUGAAAUCCCCUGAGCUUAACUUAGGAAUUGCAUUCGAUACUGGGAAGCUAGAGUAUGGGGAGAGGAUGGUAGAAUUCCAGGUGUAGCGGUGAAAUGCGUAGAGAUCUGGAGGAAUACCGAUGGCGAAGGCAGCCAUCUGGCCUAAUACUGACGCUGAGGUACGAAAGCAUGGGGAGCAAAACAGG
rnacentral:rRNA from 1 species